rnacentral:tRNA from 1 species
UAGGAAGUGGUGUAAUGGAAGCACUAAGAACUUUGAUUUCUUAAGUAUUGGUUCAAAUCCUUUCUUUCUAA